rnacentral:tRNA from 1 species
GCCUGGGUGGCUCAGUCGGUUGAGCGUCUGACUUCGGCUCAGGUCAUGAUCUCACAGCUCGUGAGUUCGAGCCCCACGUCGGGCU